rnacentral:rRNA from 1 species
GACGUAGGGCGCGAGCGUUGUCCGGAUUUAUUGGGCGUAAAGAGCUCGUAGGCGGCUUGUCGCGUCGUCCGUGAAAACCCACAGCUCAACUGUGGGCUUGCGGUCGAUACGGGCAGACUGGAGUACUGCAGGGGAGACUGGAAUCCUGGUGUAGCGGUGGAAUGCGCAGAUAUCAGGAGGAACACCGGUGGCGAAGGCGGGUCUCUGGACAGUUCCUGACGCUGAGGCACGAAGGCCAGGGGAGCAAACGGG